rnacentral:rRNA from 1 species
UACGUAGGGUGCGAGCGUUGUCCGGAAUUAUUGGGCGUAAAGGGCUCGUAGGCGGUUUGUCGCGUCGGGAGUGAAAACACCGGGCUUAACUCGGUGCUUGCUUUCGAUACGGGCAGACUAGAGGCAUGCAGGGGAGAACGGAAUUCCUGGUGUAGCGGUGAAAUGCGCAGAUAUCAGGAGGAACACCCGGUGGCGAAGGCGGCUUCU